rnacentral:rRNA from 1 species
ACGCUAGCUACAGGCUUAACACAUGCAAGUCGAGGGGCAGCAUGUCGGUUGCUUGCAACCGAUGAUGGCGACCGGCGCACGGGUGAGUAACGCGUAUCCAACCUACCCUUGUCCAUCGGAUAACCCGUCGAAAGGCGGCCUAACACGAUAUGCGGUUCUCAGCAGGCAUCUAACGAGAACGAAAUGUGAAGGAGAAGGAUGGGGAUGCGUCUGAUUAGCUUGUUGGCGGGGUAACGGCCCACCAAGGCAACGAUCAGUAGGGGUUCUGAGAGGAAGGUCCCCCACAUUGGAACUGAGACACGGUCCAAACUCCUACGGGAGGCAGCAGUGAGGAAUAUUGGUCAAUGGACGGAAGUCUGAACCAGCCAAGUAGCGUGCAGGAUGACGGCCCUAUGGGUUGUAAACUGCUUUUAUACGGGGAUAAAGUGAGUCACGUGUGGCUUAUUGCAGGUACCGUAUGAAUAAGGACCGGCUAAUUCCGUGCCAGCAGCCGCGGUAAUACGGAAGGUCCGGGCGUUAUCCGGAUUUAUUGGGUUUAAAGGGAGCGUAGGCCGUUUGUUAAGCGUGUUGUGAAAUGUCGGGGCUCAACCUGGGCAUUGCAGCGCGAACUGGCAGACUUGAGUGCGCGGGAAGUAGGCGGAAUUCGUCGUGUAGCGGUGAAAUGCUUAGAUAUGACGAAGAACUCCGAUUGCGAAGGCAGCCUGCUGUAGCGUAACUGACGCUGAAGCUCGAAAGCGUGGGUAUCGAACAGGAUUAGAUACCCUGGUAGUCCACGCGGUAAACGAUGGAUGCUCGCUGUUUGCGUCUGACGUAAGCGGCCAAGCGAAAGCGUUAAGCAUCCCACCUGGGGAGUACGCCGGCAACGGUGAAACUCAAAGGAAUUGACGGAA